GUAAAGGUUUUUUUAAAAACCAAAUAAAUGAAUAGAUGAAUGAAU
rfam:Monodelphis domestica chromosome 3, whole genome shotgun sequence.